rnacentral:misc_RNA from 1 species
GAUGAAGAACGUAGCGAAAUGCGAUAAGUAGUGUGAAUUGCAGAAUUCAGUGAAUCAUCGAAUCUUUGAACGCACAUUGCGCCCCUUGGUAUUCCAUGGGGCAUGCCUGUUCGAGCGUCAUUUGUACCUUCAAGCUCUGCUUGGUGUUGGGUGUUUGUCUCGCCUCUGCGCGUAGACUCGCCUCAAAACAAUUGGCAGCCGGCGUAUUGAUUUCGGAGCGCAGUACAUCUCGCGCUUUGCACUCAUAACGACAGCGUCCAAAAGUACAUUUUACACUCUUGACCUCGGAUCAGGUAGGGAUACCCGCUGAACUUAAGCAUAUCAAUAAGCGGAGGA